AUGGACAAGCCUGAUUUUCUGUACAUAUCUCAAGCAAAGUCCAUGUUAAAAUGCAUCACCUCAUUAAGUACUCCUGUGCUCAUGAGAGGACUACAGACCACAAGAGCCCAAGGAAAAGACUCCACUUUCAGAAUAAAAGAGCUGUAAACCUGAAAAUAUCCUUGAGCCGUGAUGUUAUUAUGUAGCCUCUGUACUGCACAGGUGAGACUACUGAGAAGAUGCAUCCUACCACAGUGUUUAUCCAUCUGGGUUCUUUACUGGUGUUAAUUGAUUUGCAAGGUG
rnacentral:lncRNA from 1 species